rnacentral:misc_RNA from 1 species
GAUGAAGAACGUAGCGAAAUGCGAUACUUGGUGUGAAUUGCAGAAUCCCGUGAACCAUCGAGUCUUUGAACGCAAGUUGCGCCCGAAGCCAUUAGGCCGAGGGCACGCCUGCCUGGGCGUCACACGUCGUUGCCCCCCCAUCUAAUCCUUCGGGAUUGCGGGGGGCGGAUGAUGGCCUCCCGUGCGCCUCGUCGCGCGGUUGGCAUAAAUGCCAGGUCCUCGGCGACGCACGCCACGACAAUCGGUGGUUGCGAAACCUCGGUUGCCCGUUGUGUGCGGUCGUCGCGCAUCGAGGGCUCGAAAAAAUUGCCGGGCUCCGGCUCGACUUUCAACGCGACCCCAGGUCAGGCGGGGUUACCCGCUGAAUUUAAGCAUAUCAAUAAGCGGAGGA